UCCCUGGUGACUCAGAUGGUAAAGCGUCUGCCUGCAAUGCAUGAGACCCAGGUUCAAUCCCUGGGUUGGGAA
rfam:TPA: Bos taurus chromosome 3, whole genome shotgun sequence.